GAACAAAGCCCAUGUUGUCGGCUCCAUGGAAACGGUGCAGAAGGUCCGCAGGAGUUGGGUCGUCACACUGAGAUAUUGCAGAUCUGCGAUCAUCACCUGGAAAAUGCUGGCACCGUAAGGAGUCCUCCACGCAUUCAGCAGGUUGUCCUUCCCAGUGCUCACGAACCAUUUACCUACAGGCACAGAGGAGACACCUUUAGCACACACUGCAGGCUUGUGUCCAAAACACAGCUGUUUAAGCGAGGUACCGACCUGACCAGGGUCUGGUUAUGGAGGUCCCACACGGCGAUGUUUCCAU